GAUUCAUAUUAACACUUCUGGAAAAAUUAAAACAAAGAUGUAAUAUUAUACCAGACUCGUUAGCCGCCCCAUUUUUUAAAUUUAAUGAUAUACGUUUUUGAGCUGCAAACUUAACCUUUUGGUAUUAAGAGAAGUGAAUUUAUGGGAUAGUUAAAUUACACAAUAACUGUAAGAAGGAAGCUGUGGUUUUUUCUUCUAAAUGACACUUACGUAAUACCACCACCGCAACAGUAGCUUUGAAUAAAACACAUAAAUACACAUUUAUUGGUGCUUUACAUUUUGCACAGCAUUCGCCAAACCUGUGACUGUGGUGGACGUGGGAUGUACUUCAACGGUUGUCUUAACCUUGAAAACCUUGGGUACUAGUAUUUUAAAGGAGCUUACCCCACACAGAAGUGCUAAUCAAACUUAAAGUAAUGCAAUUUCAUGUUAAUCUAGGCGCAAAGCUAACGACGUCCUGCUCCAUUUCUGGGAAAGAAAAAUACUUGUGCUUAUUUAGGCAAAAAGAGUCCUCGUAAAAAAAUUCAAGUAAGGAGGAAAAGGUAGUACAUUGUGGAGCGAUACCACAGCUGAAUUUUUAGCAAUUUUCAAAGAAUGGAUUUGAAACUAUCAUUAAAUGUAAAUUUUGAAUUACGUAAGAAUCUUCAACGGAAAAGUACUAAUUGGGAUCACUAUCAAACACCACAAGCGACCAAGUAUCUAAUAAUUAAAUACAAACAGACACAUAACCAAUAUACAAUAUGUACAUAUUUUACUUACUUUUCUACUCCUCGGAACGCUUCCGGCUCGAUUGUGACAAUUUUAUUUUCGUAUAAUAAUCAACAAGCGGAAGAGAUGUUUCAAUGCAGCAGAUGGUACCGUUUUCAUUUGAUUCUGUGAAACAUCCAACUGUAUUACUAUAUUGAAAUCAAAGCGUACCUAAAGAACUGAGUGCAUUCUCCUCAAUGGCUGCCAAACUGCUAUUAUGUAUAGUCAAAUGACGGAUGUCCAGUGCCAAGAAAACGAAGCCUUGCAAUUUGGGUGCAAUGUCGUUUUGCUCCGGACAUAUUUGCUGAGGCUGUGGAUUUGGUGCGCCCAAUUUCUGAUUCGCAUAUACCAGCGUGAAUAGUAC